rnacentral:rRNA from 1 species
UACAGAGGUCCCAAGCGUUGUUCGGAAUUACUGGGCGUAAAGGGCGCGUAGGCGGCCUUCUAAGUCGAACGUGAAAUCCCCGGGCUCAACCCGGGAACUGCGUCCGAUACUGGGAGGCUUGAAUCCGGGAGAGGGAUGUGGAAUUCCAGGUGUAGCGGUGAAAUGCGUAGAUAUCUGGAGGAACACCGGUGGCGAAGGCGGCAUCCUGGACCGGUAUUGACGCUGAGGCGCGAAAGCCAGGGGAGCAAACGGG